CUACGGGGGGCACCAGUGGGGAAUAUUGGACAAUGGGGGAAACCCUGAUCCAGCAAUGCCGCGUGUGUGAAGAAGGCCUGCGGGUUGUAAAGCACUUUCGGUUGGGAGGACUGCUUCUAGCACUAAUAUUGUUGGAAGUUGACGUUACCUUCAGAAGAAGCACCGGCUAACUCCGUGCCAGCAGCCGCGGUAAUACGGAGGGUGCACGCGUUAAUCGGAAUUACUGGGCGUAAAGCGCGCGUAGGCGGCUAGAUCAGUCGGGUGUGAAAGCCCCGGGCUUAACCUGGGAACCGCAUCCGAUACUGUCUAGCUUGAGUACAGGAGAGGAGAGUGGAAUUCCACAUGUAGCGGUGAAAUGCGUAGAUAUGUGGAGGAACACCAAUGGCGAAGGCAGCUCUCUGGCCUGAUACUGACGCUGAGGUGCGAAAGCGUGGGGAGCAAACAGGAUUAGAUACCCCAGUAGUC
rnacentral:rRNA from 1 species